CCUGACCAAAGUGGCCAAAGACACCAGAAAUUACACUGCUGUGAAGACCCACCACAGCCCCAUAGGCAAGUCCUGUCACAAAGCCCAGAAACCCUCCUGUGCUCUUCUGGGAGAUCCCACAGCUCCUGUGUCUCUCCCGUCACUCCUGGGACCAUGGAAGCAAGUGUCACUUUGCCUCCCCCAAAAGGUGGGCAUAGUGGUGCUCAGGAAGUACUCAUAGGCUCACGGAAGAAGGAACUACUCAGCCGGAUGCAAAAGCAGCCCUUUGCAUUCUUCUCCAUUCCAGUAUUGACCUAGGAAGGUCAAAGCUACCAUUUGGCCCAUCCUUCCUCACCCCAGCCAACUGCACAUCGUGAAUGAUGAACAGCAUAUGCACACAGCAUGUGGGCCAGGGACAGUUUUGGUUAUGAAAGUCAAAGGCACUCUAGGUUAAAGCUUCAACAAGGAGGGAAUCUGUGGGAAGCAAGUAACCCACAGGACGCAAGCCCAUUUCUUUAGACAGAAGAGGCCAAGCCAGGCCAGAGAAGACUCCCCCGCGCUGCCUCUUCCUCAGCAGAAGAUCCUCACAUCAUGCCACAAUACUUGUUUUUAGUCUGUUCCCAUAGCUUUGCUACUGUGCCAUUUUCCAGCUCAUCUGACUCCCCCUGACCCCCCAUCAAUCAUCUGUUCUGGAGGCUUUGUGCCAAGUUUUCAGAGAUCCAUAGUAAUUAAAUUUAAAUUAAAAAUCACUCAGAUGCUACCUUUUUGCUAAGGUGGUUAUGACAGAAAUGAAAUGAACCAAGAGGCAGAGAGCAGCAAAAGUUGCUCUGUACAUCUGAACCUUUCUAACAUGCCCUGCUGGCUCCCAGCUUGUUAGCUCUGGAGCCUGGGAAGAAGUCUCCUUUCUCCAUAGGUACAAAACCCUCUGAGCAAACCAAGCUAAGCACUAUGCAAAUAUGGCUGUCAAG
rnacentral:lncRNA from 1 species